AACUAAAUAAGUGGCUAAAACAAAAUCAAAAAGUCGAAAUAAAUGGUACAAAAUGGAAUGAAUUCCAAAAACUGUAGUUUGUAAACAAUAAUUCACUUGUCAAUAAUGAUUCUUAUGAUUCAAUUUGUUUUUCGUGGAAUAAACACAGUAUUUGAUACUUACAAAGGUGGUACAUUUGAACUACUGAAUGGUUGGGACCACUGAAACGGCACAAAGACUCGAUGGGGUUGAUUAUAUGGCAGAUUUAACUAAAUUUUCGAUGGAAUGUAACAAAAAAGUUGAAAUAAAUUGUUUGAAAAGGUUAGAAUUUCAAAAAUUGUAGUCUAUACACAACAAUUAACUUGUUUAUAACGAUUUUGAUGAUUCAAUUUAUAUUUCGUGGCGAUUUUCGUGGAAUAAACACAGUAUUUGAUACUUACAAAGGUGGUACAUUUGAACUACUGAAUGGUUGGGACCACUGAAACGGCACAAAGACUCGAUGGGGUUGAUUAUAUGGCAGAUUUAACUAAAUUUUCGAUGGAAUGUAACAAAAAAGUUGAAAUAAAUUGUUUGAAAAGGUUAGAAUUUCAAAAAUUGUAGUCUAUACACAACAAUUAACUUGUUUAUAACGAUUUUGAUGAUUCAAUUUAUAUUUCGUGGCGAUUUUCGUGGAAUAAACACAGUAUUUGAUACUUACAAAGGUGGUACAUUUGAACUACUGAAUGGUUGGGACCACUGAAACGGCACAAAGACUCGAUGGGGUUGAUUAUAUGGCAGAUUUAACUAAAUUUUCGAUGGAAUGUAACAAAAAAGUUGAAAUAAAUUGUUUGAAAAGGUUAGAAUUUCAAAAAUUGUAGUCUAUACACAACAAUUAACUUGUUUAUAACGAUUUUGAUGAUUCAAUUUAUAUUUCGUGGCGAUUUUCGUGGAAUAAACACAGUAUUUGAUACUUACAAGGGUGGUACAUUUGAACUACUGAAUGGUUGGGACCACUAAAACGGCACAAAGACUCGAUGGGGUUGAUUAUAUAGCAGAUUUAACUAAAU